rnacentral:rRNA from 1 species
GACGAACGCUGGCGGCGUGCUUAACACAUGCAAGUCGAACGGUAAGGCCCUUCGGGGUACACGAGUGGCGAACGGGUGAGUAACACGUGGGUGAUCUGCCCUGCACUUCGGGAUAAGCCUGGGAAACUGGGUCUAAUACCGGAUAGGACCACUGCCUGCAUGGGUGGUGGUGGAAAGCUUUUGCGGUGUGGGAUGGGCCCGCGGCCUAUCAGCUUGUUGGUGGGGUGAUGGCCUACCAAGGCGACGACGGGUAGCCGGCCUGAGAGGGUGACCGGCCACACUGGGACUGAGAUACGGCCCAGACUCCUACGGGAGGCAGCAGUGGGGAAUAUUGCACAAUGGGCGCAAGCCUGAUGCAGCGACGCCGCGUGAGGGAUGACGGCCUUCGGGUUGUAAACCUCCUUCAGCACCGACGAUGCGCAAGUGACGGUAGGUGCAGAAGAAGGACCGGCCAACUACGUGCCAGCAGCCGCAGUAA